GUUGGGGUGCAGGGGUCUGCU
rnacentral:miRNA from 1 species